rnacentral:rRNA from 1 species
UACGGAAGGGGCAAGCGUUGUUCGGAAUCAUUGGGCGUAAAGGGCGCGUAGGUGGUUCUGUAUGUCUACCGUGAAAGCGUACGGCUCAACCGUAUUUUGUCGGUGGAAACUGCAGGACUUGAGGCUGGGGAGGGGCUGGUGGAAUUCCCUGUGUAGCGGUGAAAUGCGUAGAGAUGGGGGAGAACACUCGUGGCGAAGGCGGCCAGCUAGACCAGUUCUGACACUGAGGCGCGACAGCGUGGGGAGCAAACAGG